AGCAGCCGCGGUAAUUCCAGCUCCAAUAGCGUAUAUUAAAGUUGUUGCAGUUAAAAAGCUCGUAGUUGAAUUUCGGGGUCAGUAGGUUGGUCGUGCCACUGGUAUGCACUGGCCUCACUGAUUCCUCCUUCUUGUAGAACCGUAAUGCCAUUAGUUUGGUGUUGCGGGGAAACAGGACUGUUACUUUGAAAAAAUUAGAGUGUUUAAAGCAGGCUAACGCCUGAAUACAUUAGCAUGGAAUAAUGAAAUAGGACGUUCGAUCCUAUUUUGUUGGUUUCUAGGAUUGACGUAAUGAUUAAUAGGGAUAGUUGGGGGCAUUAGUAUUCAAUUGUCAGAGGUGAAAUUCUUGGAUUUAUUGAAGACUAACUACUGCGAAAGCAUUUGCCAAGGAUGUUUUCAUUAAUCAAGAACGAAAGUUAGGGGAUCGAAGACGAUCAGAUACCGUCGUAGUCUUAACCAUAAACUAUGCCGACUAGGGAUCGGAUGAUGUUAAUUUUUAAUGACUCAUUCGGCGCCUUAC
rnacentral:rRNA from 1 species